rnacentral:rRNA from 1 species
UAUGGCUCAGGAUGAACGCUAGCUACAGGCUUAACACAUGCAAGUCGAGGGGCAGCAUGAUCGAAGCUUGCUUUGAUUGAUGGCGACCGGCGCACGGGUGAGUAACGCGUAUCCAACCUUCCCUAUAGUAGAGGAUAGCCCGGCGAAAGUCGGAUUAAUACUCUAUGUUUUCCAAUGCAGACAUCUAAGUUGGAACAAAGGUUUACCGCUAUAGGAUGGGGAUGCGUCUGAUUAGGUUGUUGGCGGGUAACGGCCCACCGAGCCGACGAUCAAUAGGGGUUCUGAGAGGAAGGUCCCCCACAUUGGAACUGAGACACGGUCCAAACUCCUACGGGAGGCAGCAGUGAGGAAUAUUGGUCAAUGGGCGAGAGCCUGAACCAGCCCAAGUAGCGUGCAGGAUGACGGCCCUAUGGGUUGUAAACUGCUUUUAUACGGGGAUAAAGUGAGGGACGUGUCCCUUUUUGUAGGUACCGUAUGAAUAAGGACCGGCUAAUUCCGUGCCAGCCGCCGC